GAUCCUCCCAGCGCCUUCCUUUCUCCAUCCCCUAAUCCAGAUCUCUCUUCCCCCAGCAACUAACUUCCUCCGUCCCCUCACCGAAGGCAAGCACAUCCCCAACAAGUCCACCAUGCCCAGGCCGCGCUGGGCCGCCGAGGGGUCUGCAUCGACCGGUCGCCGGGGAGCAGCGCUGUGCCGGACGCUGCAACCGAAGGCCAAACGGCGCGAUGGCGGACGCGGUCUACAGCGCCAGCGGGAUGGCUUCCGCUUCAGCCGCGACCAGUGCCCGUGUAGCUGCAGGGCGCUUGCCGCCUCGACGACGGCCUCGUCCAUAUAGGCGGCGACGCCCCUGAAGGCCGACCUGGCGCCGGUGCCGUUGCUGUGUCCUGUGCCCGAGUCGCUGCAGGGCGCGAGCGGCUCCCUCGUGGGCUUGCCGGACCGAGGGAACCACGACGGGCUCGCGCACUUGGAUGGGCCUGGCGCGACAGUAUACCCGACGGGCGUGCUCGAGGUCGCCAAGGUACUGCGGCGGCGACGGGCUCGUGACCCCCUCCACAUCCACGCAUCCAAACUACAGGCCGGCGCGGACGCGAGCUAGAUGGCUUUGGAAACCGAAGCGGUGGCGUGCUCGUGAUCCCCUCCCAUGCGUGUUUGAGGAGCGUGAAUCCAGGGGCAGCAUACGCGGCGAGAUCCCAUCCUAGGCGUCCUUCCGUGGUGGAAGAUGAUGGCUGGUAGUGGAUCUGGUGGAUCCUAGCCUAAUAAGCUCGAAGCCGUGAUGUUGUACUCUGCUUUCAUAUGAAUACGACUACGCUCUCUCAAGAAAAAUCAACGUGCUUACUUGGCUGUGAUUUGUGUUUUUGUAUAAUUUUUUAGUGGGUUUCAUUUUCCUUUACUUUUGGCUGUAACUCUAAUUUUUUAUUUUAAUGGUAUGAGCAGAAAUCUAAAAUGUAUGUGCUUGAAAUGUUAACAGACAAACCAUAAUAGGUAUUUCCCCGCAAAAGAAAC
rnacentral:rRNA from 1 species